GUAGGGAAUAUUGGGCAAUGGAGGCAACUCUGACCCAGCCAUGUCGCGUGCAGGAUGACGGCCCUCUGGGUUGUAAACUGCUUUUAUACGGGAAGAAAAAAUACUACGUGUAGUAUACUGACGGUACCGUAAGAAUAAGGAUCGGCUAACUCCGUGCCAGCAGCCGCGGUAAUACGGAGGAUCCAAGCGUUGUCCGGAUUUAUUGGGUUUAAAGGGUGCGUAGGCGGAUCUUUAAGUCAGUGGUGAAAGCCUGCAGCUUAACUGUAGAAUUGCCAUUGAAACUGAAGAUCUUGAAUGUGGUUAAAGUAGGCGGAAUGUAUCAUGUAGCGGUGAAAUGCUUAGAUAUGAUACAGAACACCGAUAGCGAAGGCAGCUUGCUGAACCAUUAUUGACGCUGAGGCACGAAAGCGUGGGGAGCGAACAGGAUUAGAAACCCUGGUAGUCC
rnacentral:rRNA from 1 species